CCACACUGAAAAGAAAAGUAACUCAAUGUGUCAACAGUAAUGGAAUCUCCUUUAAUGUCUCAGCAAACUUGUGUAAGAGUGAAGAUCUCUUUGCAAGCCGGAUGGAGACACCAAUGACUCUACCAUCCUUGUCAGCGCGAAAAGGAUCUCUAAAUGUUUACCUUUCUAAAGUAGUUCUCCCAGAACUUUCAGCUCAGAGGCUACCUCUUCAAAAUCUGUGUUGUAAAUCACCUGCGCUGCUGGGAAGUCUGCAACCAAAGCAUCAUCUCACGCAGAAUCACACAUGGAGCGGCUUGCAUUGAGUUCUAAGGGAAGAGAGGGAGGAGAUUGAAAUAACCAGCUUUAAAAAAAAGUGUGGAGGCAAUUAGGCAUUUUUGAAGUGUUGUCUUUCUACCGGCUUGAGCUCAGAGCAGGACAAGAAGCCCCCGGAGCAACUUUUACGCACGGUUUUUGAAAGGAUUCUUUGCUUGAAAUGUUAGACUUUUCCCAUGUUUUUGACACAUUUUGAGUUCUUUGUUUGCCCUUCGCAAUGAAUUGCUAAUGUAAUUUUUUUCUCAUUUUGAUUUUUGUGAUAUUCAUUCUGCUUUAAGACCUCUUUGUCUCCGGGGCGCAAUCAUCAGCGCGCGCAAUCUUCUUCAGGUUACACGCAGCAGAGAAGCUACGUGACGCCUGACGCAACUCAAUCUGGGAGCGGAUGACUUGGAAACUCCCGAUCAGCAUCUUUUUUCCUUCUGAAUGAGCUGAUUUGGGGACACUUUUGUUGGAUUUUAUUUUUUUCCAUUUUGAUUCUAAAGCGUUGGAAGAGAUCAGCCGCUCUACGCGCCCAGACAACGCGACAUGAACCCUGGUUUUCUAAUCGAGACUGUGGUGGCACUUCAUCUGCUCCUCUCACCUGCGCAGAGUCUAUCUUUACCGAACACAAACAGUACAACAGAAGUCGUCCCUGUUCUUCCUUUGCAGCAAAUGGGACACUUUCACACAUGUACUCUCACAGGAAAGUGCUCCGUGUACUACACAAAUGUUUUUAUUUUAAAAUGAAAAGGCAUGCUAAUGUAGAAUGAUGGGCUUUAGGUUUCUGUUCACAUCCCCCUUUUUUUCCCCAAUACUCUUAUAAUUACUGACAGCUUUUGUUUUUCUGCUCCACGCUGCUAGUUUAUACAAUAGUCUUAGUGGAUAGUUUUAGUCUGUUGUCUUCCCUCUCUAGCAUACUUAAAAAAACUAGUAGUUUUCUGAUUUUCUUUCUUUAUUCAUUUUCCAUUUUCUACCAAUUCUCACCUGUAUCUGA
rnacentral:lncRNA from 1 species